AACGAACGCUGGCGGCAUGCCUAACACAUGCAAGUCGAACGAGAUCCUUCGGGGUCUAGUGGCGCACGGGUGCGUAACGCGUGGGAAUCUGCCCUUAGGUUCGGAAUAACAGUUAGAAAUGACUGCUCAUACCGGAUGAUGACGUUAAGUCCAAAGAUUUAUCGCCUGAGGAUGAGCCCGCGUAGGAUUAGCUAGUUGGUGUGGUAAAGGCGCACCAAGGCGACGAUCCUUAGCUGGUCUGAGAGGAUGAGCAGCCACACUGGGACUGAGACACGGCCCAGACUCCUACGGGAGGGAGCAGUGGGGAAUAUUGGACAAUGGGCGCAAGCCUGAUACAGCAAUGCCGCGUGAGUGAUGAAGGCCUUAGGGUUGUAAAGCUCUUUUACCCGAGAUGUUAAUGACAGUAUCGGGAGAAUAAGCCCCGGCUAACUCCGUG
rnacentral:rRNA from 1 species